ACUAGAAGUCGCCAUACUAACCCGCAAGGGAGGGAGGCGCCUAAGGUAUGGUCGGUGAUUGGGGUGAAGUCGUAACAAGGUAGCUGUAGGUGAACCUGCAGAAGGAUCA
rnacentral:rRNA from 1 species